UGGGGAAUAUUGCACAAUGGACGGAAGUUUGAUGCAGCGACGCCGCGUGGAGGGUGUAGGCCUUCGGGUUGUGAACUCCUUUUUCUCGCGAAAAAGGCACAGUUUUGGCUGUGUUGAUGGUAGUGGGGGAAGAAGCGCCGGCUAACUACGUGCCAGCAGCCGCGGUAAUACGUAGGGCGCGAGCGUUGUCCGGAUUUAUUGGGCGUAAAGAGCUCGUAGGUGGUUCGUCGCGUCUGUCGUGAAAGCCAGCAGCUUAACUGUUGGUCUGCGGUGGGUACGGGCGGGCUUGAGUGCGGUAGGGGUGACUGGAAUUCCUGGUGUAGCGGUGGAAUGCGCAGAUAUCAGGAGGAACACCGAUGGCAAAGGCAGGUCACUGGGCCGUUACUGACACUGAGGAGCGAAAGCGUGGGGAGCGAACAGG
rnacentral:rRNA from 1 species